rnacentral:rRNA from 1 species
GUCCCAAGCCUUGCCACCCUGAUGCACCGGGUCUUUCCCAAUCUCAGAAGCUAGGCAGGGUUGAGCCUUGAUAGUGGCUGGUUGGGAGG